UACGUAGGUGGCAAGCGUUGUCCGGAUUUACUGGGCGUAAAGAGCGCGCAGGCGGUCGGAUAAGUCGAAUGUGAAAGCCCCGGCUCAACUGGGGAGGGUCAUUCGAUACUGUUCGACUCGAAGGCAGGAGAGGGAAGUGGAAUUCCCGGUGUAGUGGUGAAAUGCGUAGAUAUCGGGAGGAACACCAGUGGCGAAGGCGACUACCUGGCCUGUUCUUGACGCUGAGGCGCGAAAGCUAGGGGAGCAAACGGG
rnacentral:rRNA from 1 species